AUAUAUAUAUAUAAUACUUUAAUUCUAACAAUUGUUCUUUCAGAGAGCCCUGACUAAGUCCCUGGGUCACAUAGUGGUUCUGUUUAACCUUUUGAGGGAUCUUCUAACUGAUUUUUGCAGUAGCUGCAUCAGUUAGGAACCAAUAGCACAUGAAGGAUCCCCUCUCCCCACAUCCUUGGCAGCAUUUGUUGUCGUUCUAACUGGAGUGAGAGAAAAUCUCAAAGUAGUUUUAAUUUAUAUUCCCCCGAUGGCUAAAAAUAUCUUUUGGCCAUUUAUAUUUCUCUUUUGAGAACUCGGUUCAGUUUUGUGAACUCACAGCAGCCGUUGUUGCCCAAGACCUAAAGGCGACCAAGCCAGUCAGCAAUCCAGCAUGAUGGGGGAGGGGACUUUCUUGAGGUCCCAUAACUGGUGUAGGUGCUGUUGGCAAUUGAUGGGUAUUAGGGGGGGAGUUGGUUUUCUUCUGGAGUGCGGUCCCUGCUCCACGGACGACGGCCUCACACCCACGUGCAUAUGGGUAGCAUCUUUUAGACUUGGUGAGUUAUUAAAAAAGAGUACAUGAAAGUGAGAAAGAAGGAAGAGGAGAUCUGAGAGGAGUUGGAGGGGGAGAGGGGUGGUGACAAUAUCAAAGUUACAUCGUAUGCAUGUAUGAAUUCCUCAAGGAGUAAACAUACCUAUCAGGGACCCAGGAUGUAGCUCAGUGGUAGAGUACUCACUUAGCACCUGUGAGAUCCUGAGUUCAAACCUCAUACUACACCCAAAUAUAUCAUGUAUGCAUGCAUAUAUUCAUAUGCACAUAUGUACAUGCACAAUACACACACAUGUACAUGCAUGCGUGCAUGUGCACAUAUACAUACAUAUUUUCAUGCAUACACACAUGUAUGCAUACAUACAUAUACAUACAUAAAGAUGAAUACAUUCUUAAUAAAGAGAACAAUUUCAUUUCCUUCAUUUUUAUUUUCCCCCACCUGGAACCCCCAAGUUCAACUAGAUUGCUUUUAGAUCUAGUGGGCCUUUGUAAUGGUUUCUGAGAUGAUCAACUUACCUUUAUUUUGAUCUCUUCCGGUGAAAAUCUCAUCCUGCUAGCUUAGUACAUGGGACCAAAAGGAUUUCCAGUGGAAACCUAUGAGAAUGUUGGCUGGUCCCAUAUGCUGCCUGUGAGGCCCUGCAAUACUCCUCCUGUGGCCCCAUCUCUGCUCUUUCCUAUUUGGCCUCUUCACUUCUCCUAUGGUUGAUAUCUAUUCCUCAAAGGAGACUUUGCCCACUUCUUGCAAACUCUUCUUCAAGACUCAGCAGCUCAAACAGGAUAUUGUGGUGCACACUCAUAAUUCUAGCAUAUUAAAAGUAGAGACAGGAGAAUCAGGGAGUCAAAGUCAUCCUCAGCUAGUAGCAAGUUCAAGGCCAGCCUGGACUAUGUAAAAGUCCAUCUCAACAAAACUAGACAAAAUAAAACAAACACCAGAUCAAUGAGGCAGUUUUCUCGAUGGAAUUAAGCUUUCUCACUAUUCCCAAUUCCAAGCCAUAAAGACCAUGCGUAUCCCUCUCUGUGUCACCUGACCAUGCACGUCCCACUCUGUGUCACCUGACCAUGCACAUCCCUCUCGGUGUCACCUGGACCUUGAGCCUAUCUGGGCUUGUCUACCAGAUCCAUGGCUUCUUAAAGAAGAGAUCCAACUGUGUUCAUGUUUAUACUGGACACCAUACCUGGUCUUCAAGAAACAUUUAUUCAGGGCCUGAAGGUGAAAUGAUUAAGGCUAUAAGAUGCUUGCUACUAAGCCUGAUGACCUGAGUUGGAUCCCUUGGACUCUCGAGUAGUCAUCUGUCAACAUGCCAUCUGCAUACAUGCCGUGUGUAGAAGCACCUCCUUGGAAAACCUGAUGACCUGAAUUUGACCUGGAACCCAAUAUUGAAGGAGAGAGACAUGUGCAGCAUGACAAAUGUGUGUACAUGUGCAUGCACAAUACAAUAAAUAAGCAAACAAUACUAAGUGAAAUUUGAAGAUAGACUACUAUUGUGCUUGCUAUUUUUUAUUCUUACAAAAAAAAAAAAUUAGCAAAGGCCAAAAGACUAGUGACUCGUAACAAAGCACCUGUUUAUGUGCCAGACUGAGAUUGGUCAGUGCUCACAACACAGGGUAAGCAGACAAAAGAGGAAAAAUCAUAGGAGCUAAACUGUCUCAUUGUAGAAAUACAUAUCUUUACAUAUGUAAUAUUGUACAUAUUUCUAUAAAUAUGUAGAAAUAGACCUAUUGGGGCCUACCAAUUUCAUCAAGAGCUGAAUACUGCCCCAUUUACUUUUAGGAGAGAGGUUUUUACUGUGAGAUGACUGUGUAUAUAUAUAUAUAUAUAUAUAUAUAUAUAUAUAUAUAUAUACAGUCAGUGUAUAUAUAUACUGUGACAUUCAGUUACAAGGAGCAGCACAAGAGAGACCUGCACUCCGCAUCCAGUCUCCACUAACACCAUCAUCCUAAGUAACUCGAAUGUGAUAUUAUAGGUUACUUUGCUUUAAGAUUUUAUUGGCUGAGUAUGUUGGGCCACAUCUUUAAUUUUAGCACUGGGGAGGCAGAGGCAGGUGGAUCUUGGUGAAUUUGAAGCUAGAUAUGUCCUACAUAUCAGGCAGUUUCUGUGGAGCUGCUGUGGUUUGAGUAUGAAACACUCUCCCACAAGCUCAUUGGUGUGAACACUGGUCACUAGCUGGUGACACUUCCUUUGUGAAGGUCGAGCCUUUAGAGGUGGAGCCUUCCUGGAUGAAGUGGGGGCAUUUUGGAAGGCCUUGGUGUUUUAUAGCCUGUCUCUACUUCUUGUUCACACUCUGCCUCCUGACCAGCCAACUUCCUUUUCAUGCUGCUAUCCCUUCCCUAGCAAAUUGGCAUGUAUUCCCUGAAGCAGUAAACCAGAGUAAUUCCUUUCCAAAGAAAGGAGUUAUGUGUGUGUGUGUGUGUGUGUGUGUGUGUGUGUGUGUGUGUGUAAGGUAGGUAUGAUUAAAACUUUAGUUGUGUGCUUUACUUGGUCAAGAAGUGUGGCAUAGAUUUUUUUCUUUUUCUUUUUUUUUCUUUCUUUUUUUAUUUUUAUUUUUUAUUUUUUUUUUAGCAAAACCACAUAUUACAUGAAAGUAGAUUUCUAUAAAGGAGGUGAGGUGAAAUUCCUGUGUUCAGAACUGGACAUGAUGUCUGUGCACGGGUUAACAGACACACAGAGGGUGGCAUACGCGCACACAAGGAGAUACAGUUCUACAGUUCAGGGAGCUGGAGGAUUGCUCUGUAGUCAGAGUGAAGGUUUGGUUCCUGGCCCCCAUGUGCUGGCUCACAACCAUCUGCUACUCCAGUUUCUAGGAAUCUGAUGUCCUCUUCUGGCCUUCAAGGGCACCAGGCAUGCACAUGAUGCCCCUACAUACAUUCAGGCAAAACACUCAUACACAUAAAAUAAAAAUAAUACUGUUCAGCUCUAAAGAGGGAGGGUUUUUCAGAAGUGAGCUUCCGUGUGGAUGAGCCUUGAGGCGUCUUGCUAGGUGAUAUGAACCACUCAAAAGAGACGAGAGAGCUCCUUAUGGCUCCAGUGUGAUCGACAUCAGUCAGAAGAAAAUAGGAUGACAGUUGCGGGGCAGGGUGUGGUGUGGGGAGUGACGGGGCAGAGUUUCACUUUUGCAAGAUGAGAAGUGCUUCUGAGAAGGCUAUGGCGGUUUGUGUAACCAUGUGAAUUGUUUGCUACUUAAGUAUCCAAGUUUAAAAGAUCGAAGGCAAUAGCUUUAUGGGUAUCUUGCCACAGUCUUUUUUUUUUUUUUUUUUAAAUAAAUGGUUGCAUAAGCUUUCAAGUUUGAGGCAAGGGGAAUCUAAAAACCAACAGGGCUCUGCAGCAACUGCCUCUACUCAUUCAUGUAUUCCUUUCUUGACAGAUCUUUAAGGCCGGUUCUGAUUUUUGCUAUUACAAUUAACAUUGUAAGGAACAGCCUCGCUUGUGUUACUUAGAGUUCAAAUACAAAAUUUCCUCAGGCUGUGGCUGUAGCUAAGUGAAUGGGGUUGCUUGCUUGAGAUACACGUGUGAUCCUGGGCAGCACGUGAACUGGGCAUAGCAGCACACGACUGUAAUCCCAUGACUGGAGAGAUGGAAACAGAAAAAAUCAGAAGUCCAAAGCCAUCCUGGGCUACACAGAAAGCUCAAGGACCACAUGAAACUCCAUAGUAACUGCAGGGGGUGGGGAGGGGCGGAAAUGAGACUUCUUGGUGUUAGAGAGGUCACUCAGUCCUAUUUUAGAGCAUCUGAGUUCAACUCCCAGGGAUCUUGUUUUUCAUGGGCAUCUGAACACGCAGGCAUGUACCUGGGCCCCUACACACACACACACACACACACACACACACACACUUUUCUAAUGAUUUCUUUAUUUUUAUUUUGUGCAUUGAUGUCUUGCUUACAUGUCUGCAUAUAUGUCUGUGUGAGGAUGACAGACCCUCUAGAACUGAAAUUACAGACAGUUGUGAGCUGACAUGUGGUUGCUGGGAAUUGAACCAGGGUCCUCUGGAAGACCAGUUAAUAUUCUUUAACCACUGAGCCAUCUCUCCAGUCCCACACACCUUUUUUAAAAAUAGGUCUGAGUAUUAGGUUGGAAAAUGAGUGAAUGACUUGAGGAGUGCGUAUCUACCCAGAGACAAACACCUUCCCUGAAGCUUCUCUUCCCCUCUGGUACCUGUAGGUAAGAGUCUCUCCAAGGCAUUAGUUUACACUCACGCAAGCUGUGGGUGCAUACCUUACCAGCACACUUCUCAGUGCUCGGCCUUUAGAUCUGUGUAUGUUGGCACCCUUGCUGCUGUGAUAAAACACUCUGAUGUUAAAGGCAACUGGAAGGCUCACACUUUCAGGUCACAGUAUCCCAGAGGCAAGUUGGGAUAAGAACCUAAAGCAGAAACCAUAGAGGAGUGCAGCUUGAAGGUUUGCUCCCACAUCUAUGUUCUGAUAAUUUUCUUAUACAGCCUAGACACCCCCUGCCGGGGGAUCGUGCUGCCUACCAUAAGCUGGGUCCUCCCACAUCAGUCAUCAAUCAUGAUCAUGCCCUACGGACGUGCCCGCAGGCCAAACUGAUAGAGGCCAUCCCUCAAUGUCUGGUCCCUCUUUCCAAGUGGCCACAAGCUGUGCUGGUAGCUGCAGAUAGCUAGACAGUCGGUAUUUCAUAGUCUGGACUAUAGUCUCCAGUUUGCUAAGGUACAGAGUAUAGUGCCACUUAUCUAUUGGCAGCUCAGUCUUCCUCUUCUACAAAUCACCUCUUUGACUCCUUUACCCACUGCUUGGUGGAGUCCCAACAGGAUGACACUGAGGAACCUUCCUAUAUGGAUGUAUGUAUGGAUGUGGAUACACCUUCCACAUUCAAUUUUUUUAAAAUAGAUUUUUUUUUUUGUCUUAGCCUGUAGCCUAGGUUGUCCUGGAACUCACAUGGUGUUGAGAUUACAAAUUUGAUCCACCAAGUCCAGAUAAAAGAGAAAUUUUAUUGGUGUUUAGUGAAUCUGAUUUCUUUCCUAACAAGUGCACCACAACCAAAUGAGUCUUCAACUUUCCUUUUAGUUUGAUAGCUGUCCAGAGUUCUACCUACAAAAACUCUGGCAAAGCCAGAGCACCAGGAAAAGCCCAAUUGCCCCUCCCAAGCUCCCCACCUCCACUCUUGCCCCCACCAGCAUGCACAUGACCCUGGUUUUCAGUCUUCUUUUUUUGUUGUGUGGGAGGGAAAUCUUGCAACAGAUUACUCCAAAUUGAAACUUUUAAAAGUCAAUGGAAACUUUGUACUUUUAAAACCAAGCAGCUUCACUUGGGCACUGGCCCAGAGGCGGAUAGCAACCUCAGUCCAACCGUAAAUGUUUCCCUCUCUCAUUACAAAUUGUGACCUCUUUACUGGUGAGAGCCAAGCCCGAGCGAGUUUUCGAAGGGAUCUGAGCAGUCUGUAUUCUGUGAGGCGGGCUGUGUAAGACAGAGGGUGCAGUGGUGGGAACUUGAGGGAAGUGCACCUUGUUUCCACUACCCACCAGAGCCCAUGGGCCUAGCUCCUGCAGUCUGGAACCACAUGUGUAUUUCUUCUCUGGGAAGAAGAGAGGGGGGAGGGGGUUGGGGAUUUAGCUCAGUGGUAGAGCGCUUGCCUAGCAAGUGCAAGGCCCUGGGUUCGGUCCCCAGCUCCGAAAAAAAAGAAAAAAGAAAAAAAAAAAAAAAAAAAAAAAAAAGAAGAGAGGGAGUUAGAAAUUCUCCUCAGUGAGGAGAACGGAGGUGAGGAAAGAUCUGCCUGGUCCCGGUAGUCCAUCCUCCUUGGGUUGGUGUGGAGGGAGAGGCUUUCUUGGGAAGCUCUCUCUACUGGAUGUUUCCCAGCUUAGCUUCUGAAUUUUUAAUGCAGAGUCCCUUGAGAUGUCCCUUCAACUGUCUAGAGGCAGAGCCACGACCUUGAGUCUCCCCAUUGCCCUCGACGCAGCUCCUUAAGAGCAGCAUGAGGAGAUGUGGUUGUUUGCAGCUGGCUCAUUCUGUGCUGAUCAAUCACGUGAUUGGCGGUCUUCUGCGCCGAGGAGCACAGGAGCAAAGACUACAGUCGCAAGAGAACACGUGAUGAUAUAAUGAAGUGCUCAGCUCCUUUAGGUGGACAGGAACCCAGCCAGAGGGCUCCAAACCAUCUGAGAGAAGCGAUUGGCUACCAGAGUCAGAAUCAAAAGAAACAAAGCCUUGGCAGACUGGAGUGUGCAGCUAAGAAAGGGUAAGAACCUAGCUAGCCAGAGAUGAGAUAGGAUUACAACAGCCAGGAAGAGGCGCUUGAAGGUCCAUCAGGUCUCUGGGCUAGCCUUGGCAGGGUUUAAAAUACCCAUCUCUGUUGAUGCAGAGCUUCUAUCCUCCCCUUCCCUAUGGCACAGGAAUUCCUUUGUUCAUAGGAAAGCCCAAAACAGAGCCCCAACACCUUAGUGCUGCCCCGGGCACAGUGCUGCCCUAGGGGACAGGCCUGGUAGUAGGAAGCUGCACUCUAAAGGUAGAGCACAGCUCACAGCCCCAAGGCAGAAACUGGGACUUAAGAGGGGUUGGGGCAGGGAUAAAAGGGAGGCAUCACCUGAGGGUCCUAAUGGGUUAGGGGAUUAGCAGGUCAGAAUGUAGGGGUGGGAGGGCACUCAGAGAAGAUCCAGGCCAAGGCUUUUUCUUCUGAGGUGGUAUCUAAAAUAGCCCAGCUGACAUUGAACUCUCUGUAGCCGAGGUUGGCCUUGAACUCCUGAUCCUCUUGCUGGAUCAAGUGCUGGGAUUAUAGGUGUGCCACCACUGCCCUGCUUCAACAUUGUUCCUUUUAAGGAAACAGAGGAGUGUAUGUGCUGUAGCACCUCGGUAACGGGGAAGAACAUGAAAGAUACAAAAGCCCAGGAAAAAUGAGUAUUCUGCCAGUUACCCCGUGUCUACUGUGCUGGUCACUGGGCUUGAAUAAAAGCACAUGGGCUGCGUUGGAUCCGUCCUGGCAAUCUGGAGUUGGGGAGGGGAAUAAAUGAGGAAGUGGAAUUCCCAACACCCAACUACAAGCAAAAGCAAUACCCAAAUUGGCACAAAAUGGACUUUAAAAAGAAGACAUGAAACUGGUGGGGGCUGGUCUGAGAGGAGUUAAGGUGUUGGGGAUGAAUAUUCCAGUUUCCAGCCUGCUUUUAGAAAAAUGCCUGUGUCUCAUUCUUAGCCAGUAUCUCUAUGUCUUUCUGAAGCUCCCAGGGGUCACUGAGUGCUGGUUCACUAAUUUUAUGUAGUUAGGUAGGCAUUCAGGCCUUUCUAUUUAUUGUGACACUGUGAUUUUGAAAUAUUCUGCAGUUUCAAUGUUGGUUGGUUAUUUUAAGAGUCAUUAGAAAUAAGUUUAUAGUUUCCAAGUGGAUAGAUUCCCCCUCCUCUUAGGUCCAAAGUAGCCUCCCAAAGGGCAGUGCUGGUGACACUGGUCCCAAAUAGGACUCUGUCUGGUAAAAAGAAGCAUGAAGGUGGUUUCCUCUGAAAGCACAGCUUCCCAUUUACCAGGAACCGUCCUUGAUCCGCCCUCAAAGGUCAGCUACUGCAGCCAAGGGCCCCUAGUUCUGGGUCAGUUGCAUAACCCGUAUCAGCUCAAAGCCCCACCCUGCUGACCGCCAUAUAAAAUGUGCUUGCUCUUCUGUCAUUUUGCUUCUCUCUACCUUCCUCCCCAACAGCCUUGGGAGUUUGACCCCCAACAAAUCUUUCUCUCUACCCACGGAGUGGUCGAGUUCUAUGGCUUCGCUGCUCCCUUGCGUAUAUCGCCUUUCAUAGAUAAUUUGGUUUCUUUGUGGUCUAAGGUUAUAGCUAUAUUUGUGCUUUCUGGAAUCUGAGGGUUUUGACUAAUGACUGAUUUAGUAAAUAAUUUCAGGCAUAGUUUUGCAUAAGUGAUUGGGUAUGAGAUGUUGUAUAUUAGGACAGAGAGAUAUCUUCUACUUUUUUUUUUUUUGGUUCUUUUUUUCGGAGCUGGGGACCGAACCCAGGGCCUUGCGCUUCCUAGGUAAGCGCUCUACCACUGAGCUAAAUCCCCAGCCCCAUAUCUUCUACUUUUUAAACCCUAUUUAUUUCUCUGCGUGUGUGAGUACUCACGUGAAGGUCAGAGGGUAACCUAUGGGACAGUUGUCUUUUUCUUCCAGGCGUGGGAGCAAGUUUCUUUACCUGCUGAAUCUUACUGGCCCUCUGAUGUUUUGUUUUUGUUUUUAUUGGAGCUGUUAAUUUCUCAGAAAGUUGUAAGUUUUCUUUUUUUCAUUAUUUGUUUGUUUUUGGUUUUUAAAGACAGGGUUUUUCUGUGUAGCCCUGGCUAUCCUGGAACUCCCUCUGUAGUGAAAGAGCCACAGUUGGGUCAGUCUACGGCCAGUGGGAAAGCUCUACCACAAACCAAGCACAAAGACCCCCUCCCUUCCAGGGAGGGCAGGGCCAGCUUAGUUCCUGGAGCAGCUGCCAGCCACACUGUCAGACAAAGCCACUGUGACUCCCAACCGAACCCCCUGGAAAGUCCAGAACGGUUCACUGAUCACAAGUCAGUUCGAAGGUCGCUUCGCCUCACUGGUAGUACCAUGCCUAGUUACCAGUUGUUUGCACUCUGCCCCAAUUGUUUGCAAGGUAUAGAACUCCCUGUUAGAGUAUGCUCAGGGUCGCCUCUCUCCUAAAGGGAGUCAACCCUAACGUGUUGGAAUAAAGUAAGUUCCUCUUGCUUUUGUAUUGAUUACUGCCUCUAUGAAUCUCACUCAAGGGUUCCCGGACAGGGGUCAGUUCAGACCUCACAGUAGACCAGGCUGGCCUUGAACUCACAGAGAUCUGCUUGCUUCUGCCUCCUGAGUGCUUGGAUUAAAGGCAUGUACCAUCACUGCUCAGCAAAUGUUCUUACUAGACGUUCAUAGGGGCUGGAGAGAUGGCUCAGUGGUUAAGAGCACUGCUCUUCCUCAGGGCCUGAGUUCAAAUCCCAGCAACCACAUGGUGGCUCACAACCGUCUGUAAUGGGAUCAGAUGCCCUCUUCUGGUGUGUCUGAAGACAGCUACGGUGUACUUACAUAUAAUAAAUAAAUAAAUCUUUAACAAAAAUGAGAUGUUUGUAGUUUCCAGGCAAGGGUAUUGAAAUACGUUUCUUAUGGGUCGAGAACACUCAGUGGGCCUAGAGUCUAAACCCAUUCAUUUCAGUACCAAGAAGCCAGAAAACCCUGUUUCUUCUAACUUUUUCUUAGAAGACUAAAACCCACAAACUCAGACUUGCCUAUUGUGAUGUACUUAACAGAGUGAAGGUAUAUGUAGGUUGGAAAAGGGCCUUUUACUUGUCUCUGUUAAAAAGGGCUCUUUUUAAGACACCUUACUUGCUGUUCUGACAAAACACCAGACAAUUUAAGGAAAGGAUCUGUGCUUUGGCUCACAGUUUGAUGCCAUGAUCUGUCAAGGUGGGGGAGGGGGAGGCUGAGCAGUGGGAGCUGGAGGAGUCUGCAGUAGGAGGCAGAGAGGGAACGCAGUACCCAGUUCACAUCUUUUUCAAUUCUGGACUUCAGCUCACGUUUAGAAUGGGUCUUCCUUCCUCAGCCAAAGCUCUUUGGGAACAAGGACACAUAGAGACUUGGUGACCAUAGUGUCACACUCAGUUCUAACACCAUGCUUAAUCAAGGGGAAAGUCAGUGUGGAAUGCACAAAGAUGGUCUUUGCUAUUGGGUUUGCGAACGUUUUGUCUGGGGCUGGUGUUGCUGUCCUAGCUGUUAGUGAGGCAGAGGCAGAAGGACGGCAAGUUCAGGCCUACCUGCAUGAUACCGUGAGCUCGGGACCAGUGUGGACGACUCACCCAAGGCUUGUCUCAAAUAAAAAGUAACACAAGGACGUAGGAAGGAGCCUGGGACCGUGGCUUGGUUAGUGGAGAGCUUCUCUAACAUGAAUGGACUCUAUGCUCAGCCCCAAGUAAUCAGCCCCAUGAAGUGGAAUCGAGGACUCCAUGUAUGUUUGACUACUGAGCUGUAGCCCCAGCCACGCUACAUAUUUAAAAAAAAAAAAAAGAAACAAGCAAAGAAAGAAGUGUGGACAAAAGAGGCUGCUGGGGGACACAGUGGGACACACUGCAGCUUCCAAAUGAGAUUUUCUUCUCUGUUGGGGGUAGGUUGGGAGAGCAGGUAUGAGGAGAAAGAGAGAUGAGGGGCAUUCGGGGCAUGAUGUGAAAUUCACAAAGAAUUGAUAAAAAGUUUUUUUUUUCCCCCCGGAGCUGGGGACCGAACCCAGGGCCUUGCGCUUGCUAGGCAAGCGCUCUACCACUGAGCUAAAUCCCCAACCCCGAUAAAAAGUUUUUAAAAACUAAAAAAAAAAAACAAAAAACAAAAAAACAAAAACAAAAAAACCCCAACCCAGUGUAGUAACAUUUAAUUAUGCCUUUUUGCUUUCUACUUUUGUGCCUUUUUAAAUGGCUUUUUCAUUUUUCUCCAGUGCGGGGUGUGCGUGCCAUUUGAAGUCAGGAAUUGCCCUCUCUGACUUGUCAACCUUACCCAUCAAGGUGGAUCUUGCUGAGGGUUCUGCCUGUUUUACAGUUGGGCCACAAGGUCCACCCAACAUUUAUGUUUCUGAAGAUCCAAAUCCUGGUCCUCACUUCUGAGCGGCAAGUGUUUUAACUACUGAGUCAUCUCCUGAGUGUGCUCUCCCUUCCCCUCUCCCUCUCCCUCUCUGUCUCUCUCCUCAAGCAUCUCGUGUAGCCCACUCAGCCUCUGACUCUAUCUGCUUUGAAUUACAGACUCAACUCUCUUGUUGUCUUAUCCCCCUCAAACCCAAUAACCCCGAGUGUUUAUAAAGCUAUACUGGCCUGCUUCCAGGUUCCUUUUCACAUCCAUGAAACUUGCUAAUGGACCGCUGAGCUCUGUAACAUGCCACUCAGUCUGGCUGCUGGGCCGGGGUCCUGACUCAGUAGUUAUUAAUGCUGUGUGAUUUCCUGUGAUACCCUGAGCCUUUCUGGUCUUGUGCCUCAUCUGCCGAAUGGAUCUUGGGUGCCCAUCUCUUUUGGUUAGGAGAAAAGGAAGCAGUUUCCUGGCAAUGGCGUAAUCCUGAAGCCUGCAGACUUUGCUGUUUCCAGCUGUGUGGUACUGUAGAAUCACGAGGGGGUCUUGAGUCACACUCUCGUUGGUUUUUAUAUUUCCUCUGCCUAGACUGGAACAUGCUGUGGCCUGCUGUAACCUCAGAAACAUCUAGAGGUAGCAGGGGCAACCAAGGGGCCCCAGCAAAGCAAGCAAGAGGCAUUGUUUGAAGCUAGUUGGACCCCGAAGUGGAACAUCAACUCUCUUGCAGCAAACUCCUCCAGAACCCUCUGAAAGUCAGUUUCGCUUUUAACAAGACCCCAGCUCAGCCUUGGGUGACAGGGGUAGCCCCACAUAGACAGGUUUUGCCGAAUGGUGAAUCCUUGAGUGGUUGGCCUUGUUCAAAAGCCUCUCCUCCCUGUCUGCUGCCCUUCUGAUGGGCUUUCACAGCUCUGUUCAUGGGAAGGUUGAUAUUGACUUGGGUACUAAGUCAGGCUCUCCCCAUGGCUGGGGUCAGGUCCCUUGCCUCUCUAAUGUGGGGUUCAGCAACUCUGCACAACUCAUUCCUUGGAUUGUACCUAGGACCGUCACGCCCUGAUCUGUCCCUGAGCAUAUUACAGCACAGAGCAGCAUUCUGGGGCCCUGGGUUUUGAGUUCCUGCCAUGUGUACAGCAUAAAAGCACAAACCCUAUGCUUUUGCUCUGUAACACUGGUCUGUGUGCUCAAAGUAAAGGUGUUCACUUGGGGAAUGCACACCUUUUAAAACGAUUUGGCCAGUCUAUCCAGAAAUCCGGUCAAAGCUGUAUUAAGACUCCAUCUUACUUAUGACUAGAGAUUUUAUUACAAGGGUCAUGGACCAUCAUGUUAAAAGGAAUAAGCCAGACUUUGGAAAAUGGUGCCAUAUGUUUGUGCCCAUAUAUGGAAUCUAUACCUUUAAAAAGUAGGAAAUACAUAACAUGAACAUGGGAGGGGCUCUAUAAGAAACAGGAAGGGUGAUGGAGGAUUUUCGGUGAAGACAAUCCAAGACUAUGAUACAAACAUGAAAAUACCAUGUGGAAAUCUGUCACUUUGUACAUGCACAUUUGAUCAUUUGUAAAAUGGGGGAAGAUGAGGCAAUCUUAUAUAGAGUAGUACCAGUGCAGAAAAGGUAGUUCCCGAGUGUGACACACAUGAGAUAGGAUGAUACUUACUGUGGGACGGAGUGGCAGUGUCCCAGAAAGCAAUCUCAUAUCAGAUACUAAAAAGCUGUAACUUAGGACCAGCGAGACACUUUGUCAGGUAAAGGUGCUUGCUGUGCAAGCCUGGUGACCUGGGUUUGAUCCCCAGAACCCCAUAAAGGGGAAAGAAAAGAACCAAUGCUAUAAAGUUAUCUUCUGGACUCCACACUUGCAUAUACACACAUACCACCCUCCCCACACACAAACAAAAUCUAUAAUACAAAAGUGGGGAAAUAUCUUUUGAAUAUCAUCCCCAGAACACAGGCAACAAAACCACAAAUUGACAAAUGAAUUAUUUCAAACAAAUUAGCUUUUGACAGAAACAGUGAUGAGGCAGUCUGCCAAAAGGGAGAAAACUGCAAAGAAUCCAGCGAGGGAUGAAUACCAAGCAGUAAGAAUACAAGCAAUGGCAACAAUGUCCAAAUAAGGCAAUGGAAACACAGACCAGGCAUGGUGGUGCCACGCCUGCCUUCCCAGCACUGGGCGUGUGGAAGCAGGAGGGUCAGGAAUUCAAGGUCAUCCUUGGCUAUGUGGUGAGUUAGAGAUCAGUCUAGGAUACAUGAAACUUUCUGGAGGGAGGGGGACACCCUGUAUCCCAUAAUUUAUACUUAUAGCAAUGAAAAGUAAAACAAAAAAAUUUUAAAAAGAGGCCAAUUGGAGGAGAGCAACCCUGUAGGAGGACCAGCAGUCUCAAUUAACCUGGACCCAUGAGCUCUCGUAGACACUGGAUCGAUCACCAACCAGGCAGUAGACAGCAGCUGAGAUGAGGCCCCCAACACAUAUACAGCAGAGGACUCCGGGGUGUGGGUUCAGUCAGAGAAGAUGCACCUAACCCUCAAGAGACUGGAGGCCCAGGAAGUUUAGAGGUCUGGUUGGGUGGGUGAGGUUGGAACAUUCUCGUGGAGAUGGGGUGGUGUGGGUGCAGGGAGGAGGUAUGGGAUGUGAAACAGUUGGAGGGGUGGACUGGGAAGAGUAAAAUCUAGAGUGUAAAAAUGAAUAAAUGAAUGAAUGAAUGAAUGAAUGACGGGGGGCGGGGGAUCUAUUAAAAUGUUUGCACCCAUGUGCCCAAUUGUUCCAAGGUGGAAAGCUGUUGUAGUGGGAGAAAUCUUAGACUCAGCCAGAGGGAGGCACAGAGACGUGAACAUGGGCAGAGACUGAAUGAACCGUUCUCCAAAAGGUACACCCAGCACACUUUUAAACAUCACCGUGAAAUAUUAGAAAUGUGAGAAACAUGUAUGGAUCUGGGAAAUGGUUACGGUAUAUUUUAUAAACACAUAUAUCCAAGACGGUUAUGAUGAAGUGAAAAUGUUUUUAAAACAUAAUAA
ensembl:lncRNA